UACGGAGGAUCCGAGCGUUAUCCGGAUUUAUUGGGUUUAAAGGGUGCGUAGGCGGCAUGCUAAGUCAGGGGUGAAAGACGGUGGCUCAACCAUCGCAGUGCCUUUGAUACUGGCGUGCUUGAAUGCAGACGAGGCAGGCGGAAUGAGACAAGUAGCGGUGAAAUGCAUAGAUAUGUCUCAGAACCCCGAUUGCGAAGGCAGCUUGCCAGGCUGCUAUUGACGCUGAUGCACGAAAGCGUGGGGAUCAAAC
rnacentral:rRNA from 1 species